rnacentral:rRNA from 1 species
UACGGGGGGGGCAAGCGUUGUUCGGAAUUACUGGGCGUAAAGGGCUCGUAGGCGGCCAACUAAGUCGGAUGUGAAAUCCCCAGGCUUAACCUGGGAACUGCGUCGGAUACUGGAUGGCUUGAAUUCGGGAGAGGGAUGCAGAAUUCCAGGUGUAGCGGUGAAAUGCGUAGAUAUCUGGAGGAAUACCGGUGGCGAAGGCGGCAUCCUGGACCGACAUUGACGCUGAUGAGCGAAAGCUAGGGGAGCAAACGGG